AAUCACCGGUUCUCGUCCGAUCACCGAAGUUAAGCAAUGUCGAGCCUGUUCAAUACCUAGAUGAGUGACCGCUUACGUAUACCAGAUGCUGUAAG